GACAGAGGGCGCGGGUGUUAUUCGUUUUGAUUGGGCGUAAAGGGUACGUAGGUGGUUUUCGGUGAUUUGGCUAAAAGAGCGGGGAGUUCCCACGCGGUAGCCUUUGAGAAAGAAAGCUAGAGUUGAAGAUAGGUAGGGGCAAGUUCUCAAGUAGGGGUAAAAUCCCACGAGAUGAGAACGAAGGUCAGCUGGCGAAGGCGCCUUUCCGGUUUCAACUGACGCUAAGGUACGGAAGCUUAGGGAGCAAACGGGAUUAGAAA
rnacentral:rRNA from 1 species